rnacentral:rRNA from 1 species
GCGUGAGUGACGAAGGCCUUAGGGUUGUAAAGCUCUUUUGGCGGGGACGAUAAUGACGGUACCCGCAGAAUAAGCUCCGGCUAACUUCGUGCCAGCAGCCGCGGUAAUACGAAGGGAGCUAGCGUUGUUCGGAAUCACUGGGCGUAAAGCGCACGUAGGCGGAUUGCUAAGUCAGGGGUGAAAUCCCGGGGCUCAACCUCGGAACUGCCUUUGAUACUGACAAUCUCGAGUCCGGAAGAGGUGGGUGGAAUUCCUAGUGUAGAGGUGAAAUUCGU